GCUGCGCCGCGGGGCCCGCCCUGAGGAGAGCGGCGGGGUCGCCGCAGUCACCACAAGCCGCGCCUCGCCUCGCCUCUGGUGCCUCGCACCUCCCUCAUGCCUCGCCUCACUUCAUGCCUCGCCUCGCCCCGACUCACCUCGUGCCCUUCAUCUCAGUACGGACAGACACCAAAACGUUUUAUCACCUCCCGUCCGAUCCCCCCCCAGAAAUCCCCGCUCUCAGCACAGGGUGAGGCAAAAGAUGCCCACCUGGCCUGUUGGCACAGCGGGGCCCAGGAGCUGCAGCUGGUCCCACCUCGCUCGGCCGCCCAGCGCUGGCCACAGGCUGAGGAGAACAAGGGCACCCGAGGUGCUGCUGGGCAGCCCCGCUGCUCACAGGUGAAAAUCAACAGAGGAGUCCAAAAAAUGAUUAGAAGAGUAUGCAUCUACAACAGAGUGUAGGAGAACUGUAUACAUGCUCUUCUGUAUCACUGAACACAGUAUCAUGAGGAAGUCAGUGUCUGCUGAAGUCCAGCUUUAAAGUGUUUCAGGUUUUCCAACCUGAGUGAAGCUGAAAUGAUGCUCUUGUGUUCUGUGAAAUGCAGAAAACUCAUGCUGUUGAGUGAAAGAUCAAGAACUGCUGAAUUUUGACCUCAGUGCUGAACUACAGCUCUACCCUGACCUGCAUUAAGAAAUCCAGAUCAGAUGAUGCCAGCUAGCCAAACUCAGUCCACCAGGCUGUUCAAAACAGCAGGGAGAGAAGGUACGCUAUACUAUUCAGCCACAAAUGGUAAAAUGGUAGUAAUAUCAUUUGAAGGCGUCUGCCAUCAAGUCAACUCUCAGAUCUGUCCACAAGAGAGAGGUCCCAAGAUUGGUGUUUGCAGGUUUUACACACAGACCACACUCAGACAUUCCUAAAUUGUCUCUCCAAUCAGUCACAUGAUUGUCAUUUGGAUAACC